rnacentral:rRNA from 1 species
GACAGAGGAUGCAAGCGUUAUCCGAAUGAUUGGGCGUAAAGCGUCUGUAGGUGGCUUUUUAAGUCCGCCGUCAAAUCCCAGGGCUCAACCCUGGACAGGCGGUGGAAACUACCAAGCUGGAGUUCGGUAGGGGAGACUGGAAUUCCUGGUGUAGCGGUGAAAUGCGCAGAUAUCAGGAGGAACACCGAUGGCGAAGGCAGGUCUCUGGGCCGAUACUGACGCUGAGAAGCGAAAGCGUGGGGAGCGAACAGG